UUUUUUAAUCUUUUUUUGUCUGUACUGCAAGUUAAACCAAUUCUAUUAUUAUCCUUACCUUGCCUCCUUCUCUUAGAUGCUUAUUAUUAAAACCAUAAAACUACCUUAUUUACACUGAUACUUCAAAACUUGAUUCAACCACAUAUGAAAAAGAGGCUAAAGGGACUUUCAGUUGGGUGUAUCAGCCCAAUUCUCUAUCACAGCCUCCUCCCCUCUGGUUAUUUUGCAAGUCCAUUCCAGGCAUAGCGAUACGUGGAACAGUCACUGUGAGAAAUGUGGCAGGGGCGGCAACAGAUCCUAGAUCUAGAUGUCAUGGUUCUUCUGAGAAGUCAGAGUAGAAUCAAACAGAAAACUAUCACUACAUUAAAAAUAUCCUGGACGUAUUAGCAAACAAAUGCAUGCAUUUAUUCACGGAAUAAAAAUCAAAGGUGCCACAUUUGUAACCUUAUGCUUCUAGCUUAGCUACAUGAAAUAAAAAGCUAUUUGAAAUCAACUACAAAUGCAAUAAAGCAUAGAUUUUCCAAAUAAAUCUUAUUUGCUGUCAAACCAUAACUCACUCAUAAAUCAUACAAUAUUUUCACUUUGUAAUACAAUAAAAAUGAUU
rnacentral:lncRNA from 1 species